rnacentral:lncRNA from 1 species
AUUAGCAAAUUCUUGUUAUUUAGUGCUAAUUUUAAACAUUCCAUCUAUUUUUGUAAGACUCUUUUUCGGUAAAUAAAAUAACCAUAAUUUCUCCUAAAUGUUCACUGUAUUUGUUCUGUUUAUAGUUACAGGGCGGCUACGUCACCCUGAAGUCACAUGGCUCUUCUGCUCCUCAAGCGCUUCUCCAGCGGUGACUGCCCCUUAACCCGCCGGGCGUAUUGCCUGCAUCACCCACUAAGUUCCAGGCUCGAUAGGAAGGACAUGGAGGGAUCCCGGCCCACACAGGUCCCCCAAAUAUACACGUCCGUAUGUGUGGGUCUCUCCCUCUUGGUGGCUCUCAGCUGGGGGCAGUUUUUCCCCGAGGGACAUAGGGCAACGUCUGGACAUGGUUUCGUUGUCACAGCUGGUGAGGUGGCCAUGGCACCAGUGCCCAGGAUGUGCCUGGACCAGGAAACAGGAGCCCAGAUGAAGAGGGCAGAGAACGGAGACCCAGAUAUGUGCGUUCCCUGCCGUCCUGCACUCAGAUCUGCAGAGACAUUUUCCCUCUGAUGCCUCAGUCUUCAGCUCCUUCUUCCUGAUGGCUCUGUGUGCUCCCUCCCCUGUAUGGAUGAACGUGAGUUUAGUUGGACGUU